rnacentral:rRNA from 1 species
AUUGAACGCUGGCGGCAGGCCUAACACAUGCAAGUCGAACGAGCGGCGGACGGGUGCGUAAUGAUUGGGAAUCUUGCUUAUGGAGGGGGAUAACUACGGGAAACUGUAGCUAAUACCGCGUACCAUAGGAUGAGCCCACGUGGGAUUAGGUAGUUGGUGAGGUAAAGGCUCACCAAGCCGACGAUCUCUAGCUGGUCUGAGAGGAUGACCAUCCACUCGGGUACUGAGACACGGCCCAGACUCCUACGGGAGGCAGCAGUGGGGAAUAUUGCGCAAUGGGGGCAUCCUGAUGCAGCCAUGCCGCGUGAAUGAAGAAGGCCUUCGGGUUGUGAAGUUCUUUCGGUAGCGAGGCGUUAGCAGCAGAAGAAGCACCGGCUAACUCCGUGCCAGCAGCCGCGGUAAUAC